rnacentral:rRNA from 1 species
CAGUCGCCGCGGGAAUACGGAGGGUGCAAGCGUUAAUCGGAAUUACUGGGCGUAAAGCGUGCGCAGGCGGUUUGUUAAGACAGAUGUGAAAUCCCCGGGCUCAACCUGGGAACUGCAUUUGUGACUGGCAAGCUAGAGUCUUGUAGAGGGGGGUAGAAUUCCAGGUGUAGCGGUGAAAUGUGUAGAGAUCUGGAGGAAUACCGGUGGCGAAGGCGGCCCCCUGGACAAAGACUGACACUCAGGUGCGAAAGCGUGGGGAGCAAACAGGAUUAGAUACCCGGGUAGUCCCUGUCUCUUAUAA